rnacentral:rRNA from 1 species
GACGAACGCUGGCGGCGUGCUUAACACAUGCAAGUCGAACGGAAAGGCCCUGCUCUUGUGGGUUGCUCGAGUGGCGAACGGGUGAGUAACACGUGAGUAACCUGCCCUUGACUUUGGGAUAACUUCAGGAAACUGGGGCUAAUAUCGGAUAGGAGCUACUGCUGCAUGGUGGUGGAUGGAAAGUUUCGGCGGUUGUGGAUGGACUCGCGGCUUAUCCGCUUGUUGGUGGGGUAGUGGCUUACGAAGGCUUUGACGGGUAGCCGGCCUGAGAGGGUGGCCGGCCACAUUGGGACUGAGAUACGGCGCAGACUGCUACGGGAGGCAGCAGUGGGGAAUAUUGCGCAAUGGGCGGAAGCCUGAUGCAGCAACGCCGCGUGCGGGAUGACGUCCUUCGGGUUGUAAACCGCUUUCGCCUGUGACGAAGCGUGAGUGACGGUAAUGGGUAAAGAAGCACCGGCUAACUACGUG